rnacentral:rRNA from 1 species
UACAGAGGGGGCAAGCGUUGUUCGGAAUUACUGGGCGUAAAGGGCGCGUAGGCGGCCUGUUAAGUCGAACGUGAAAUCCCUGGGCUCAACCCAGGAACUGCGUCCGAUACUGGCAGGCUUGAAUCCGGGAGAGGGAUGUGGAAUUCCAGGUGUAGCGGUGAAAUGCGUAGAUAUCAGGAGGAACACCAAUGGCGAAGGCAGAUCUCUGGGCCGUAACUGACGCUGAGGAGCGAAAGCAUGGGGAGCGAACAGG